GGGUGACAGGUGGUGCAUGGUUGUCGUCAGCUCGUGUCGUGAGAUGUUGGGUUAAGUCCCGCAACGAGCGCAACCCUCGCCUCUAGUUGCCAGCAUUCGGUUGGGCACUCUAGAGGGGACUGCCGGCGACAAGUCGGAGGAAGGUGGGGAUGACGUCAAAUCAUCAUGCCCCUUAUGACCUGGGCUACACACGUGCUACAAUGGGCGGUACAAAGGGCUGCGAACCCGCGAGGGGGAGCGAAUCCCAAAAAGCCGCUCUCAGUUCGGAUUGCAGGCUGCAACUCGCCUGCAUGAAGCCGGAAUCGCUAGUAAUCGCGGAUCAGCAUGCCGCGGUGAAUACGUUCCCGGGCCUU
rnacentral:rRNA from 1 species